rnacentral:antisense_RNA from 2 species
GUGGGAGGGGGCUUGCUCCCGAUUGCGGUGAUUCAGUCAACGUAUCAAGUGACUGAUACUCAGCAAUCGGGAGCAAGCCCCCUCCCAC